GAUGAAGAACGUAGCGAAAUGCGAUAAGUAGUGUGAAUUGCAGAAUUCAGUGAAUCAUCGAAUCUUUGAACGCACAUUGCGCCCUUUGGUAUUCCUUAGGGCAUGCCUGUUCGAGCGUCAUUUAAACCUUCAAGCUAAGCUUGGUGUUGGGUGACUGUCCGCUUCACGGCGGACUCGCCUCAAAAUUAUUGGCGGCCGGUACAUUGGCUUCGAGCGCAGCAGAAACGCGAACUCGGGCCCGUCGUAUUGGCUCCCAGAAGCUAUCUUCACAAUUUUGACCUCGGAUCAGGUAGGGAUACCGCUGAACUUAAGCAUAUCAAUAAGCGGAGGA
rnacentral:misc_RNA from 1 species